AGAGUUUGAUCAUGGCUCAGAACGAACGCUGGCGGCAGGCCUAACACAUGCAAGUCGAGCGCUUCACUUCGGUGAGGAGCGGCGGACGGGUUAGUAACGCGUGGGAAUAUACCCAGUUCUAAGGGAUAGCGACUGGAAACGGUGAGUAAUACCUUAUACGCCCUUCGGGGGAAAGAUUUAUCGGAAUUGGAUUAGCCCGCGUUAGAUUAGAUAGUUGGUGAGGUAACGGCUCACCAAGUCUACGAUCUAUAGCUGGUUUGAGAGGAUGAUCAGCAACACUGGGACUGAGACACGGCCCAGACUCCUACGGGAGGCAGCAGUGGGGAAUCUUGGACAAUGGGCGCAAGCCUGAUCCAGCCAUGCCGCGUGAGUGAUGAAGGCCUUAGGGUCGUAAAACUCUUUCGCCAGGGAUGAUAAUGACAGUACCUGGUAAAGAAACCCCGGCUAACUCCGUGCCAGCAGCCGCGGUAAUACGGAGGGGGUUAGCGUUGUUCGGAAUUACUGGGCGUAAAGCGUACGUAGGCGGAUUAGAAAGUUAGGGGUGAAAUCCCAGGGCUCAACCCUGGAACUGCCUUUAAAACUCCUAGUCUAGAGGUCGAGAGAGGUGAGUGGAAUUCCAAGUGUAGAGGUGAAAUUCGUAGAUAUUUGGAGGAACACCAGCGGCGAAGGCGGCUCACUGGCUCGAUACUGACGCUGAGGUACGAAGUGUGGGGAGCAAACAGGAUUAGAUACCCCUGGUAGUCCACACCGUAAACGAUGAAUGCCAGACGUCAGCAAGCAUGCUUGUUGGUGUCACACCUAACGGAUUAAGCAUUCCGCCUGGGGAGUACGGUCGCAAGAUUAAAACUCAAAGAAAUUGACGGGGGCCCGCACAAGCG
rnacentral:rRNA from 1 species